GGGGCGUUAACUCAGUCGGUAGAGUAUCUGCCUUUUAAGCAGAGAGUCGCUGGUUCGAGCCCAGCACGCCCUACCA
rnacentral:tRNA from 2 species